AGUGAACGCUGGCGGUAGGCCUAACACAUGCAAGUCGAACGGCAGCACAGUAAGAGCUUGCUCUUACGGGUGGCGAGUGGCGGACGGGUGAGGAAUACAUCGGAAUCUACUUUUUCGUGGGGGAUAACGUAGGGAAACUUACGCUAAUACCGCAUACGACCUACGGGUGAAAGCAGGGGAUCUUCGGACCUUGCGCGAUUGAAUGAGCCGAUGUCGGAUUAGCUAGUUGGCGUGGUAAAGGCCCACCAAGGCGACGAUCCGUAGCUGGUCUGAGAGGAUGAUCAGCCACACUGGAACUGAGACACGGUCCAGACUCCUACGGGAGGCAGCAGUGGGGAAUAUUGGACAAUGGGCGCAAGCCUGAUCCAGCCAUACCGCGUGAGUGAAGAAGGCCUUCGGGUUGUAAAGCCCUUUUGUUGGGAAAGAAAAGCAGCAGGUUAAUACCCCGCUGUUCUGACGGUACCCAAAGAAUAAGCACCGGCUAACUUCGUG
rnacentral:rRNA from 1 species